CUGGGCAAUAGAGACUACAUAUUAAAAAAAAAAAAAAAAAAAAAACACGGCCGGGCACGGUGGCUCACGCCUGUAAUCCCAGCACUUUGGGAGGCCGAGGCAGGCAGACCACCUGAGGUCGGGAGUUUGAGACCAGCCUGACCAACAUGGAGAAACCCCGUCUCUACUAAAAAUACAAAAUUAGCUGGGUGUAGUGGCGCAUACCUGUAAUCCCAGCUACUCGGGAGCCCGAGGCAGGAAAAUCGCUUGAACCUGGGAGGUGUAGGUUGCAGUGAGCCAGUAUCACCCCACUGCACUCCAGCCUAGGCAACAAGAGCAAGACUUCGUCUCAAACACACACACACACACACACACACAGAGAGAGAGAGAGAAAAUACAUACACAGGAAAACCCAGUUUCCAAAAUUUCAGGGAGACUGAUUUGAGUAAUAAUAAUAUUCUGGUCUCCUGUUUAGCCAGCUCUGCAUGUAUCAAACGCUUUCUCUGUUGCAAUUCCUCUGCUGCAAUUCCUCUGUCUUGAUGAAUGGGCUGUAUCCAGGCAGCGGGCAAAAUGAACCAGUUGGGCAGUUACACACAUACACCCUCCUUGGCUUCAACAGAGCCAAGGAGCUUUAAAAGCACUCAUCUGAGGACUACAUUAAACACUUCUUUCUUUUCUCUCAUUUUAGGAAAAAGCAAAGAGGAACUUUACAAACUAUUACAGUUUUCCAUCAUCACUUGACUGCUGACAAGAAGCCUCUUUGAAUUCCAGUAUACACGAUCACAUUUUAAAACCUUCAAGACGCCGUUUAAUCAGGAGUUGUAAGGCACAUUUGUUAGAGAGAGCUGCACUUUAAAAGUUAUACAGACAUCACCUGAAGUUAUUAAAGUUAUCAAAACAUAUUAAAAACCUUCAAGUAAGAGGCUACUCCCCAGGAAACGUGUGGAGCCAGUGAACGGAAGAAAAACAAUGGAAGGAAGGCUUGAAAAGUCCAUUACAAAACUACAGUCCUUUGAAAAAGAUUUCAAAGAUAUUAAAAUGAAAACUGAUUACAUUAAACAAUAA
rnacentral:lncRNA from 10 species